rnacentral:misc_RNA from 1 species
AAAUUGUUAAAAACAUCUUCAUUAUCCAUCCAUAAUUCUAUAUUAUUUUGUUGAUCCAUUGCUUGAUAAUCUUCAUACCAUAAUUGAUCACUUUGAUUAACUUGAUUAUAAUCUUGAUUAGAGUUUUCUGAUGAAGUUGCCACGCUGGAAUUUUCUAGUGUAACGCUAGUGCUCGUAACGGAUCGUUGAGCUUCGUUAAUACAAUUAUUAUUCGAAAUUUUGGAUGCUUCAAUCCUCUCAACUAGUCUUGGAAUCCAAAGAUAACGUAAUGUAUCUUUGAAUUGUUUGCUAUUCACAUCGCACUUUAGUUGUUUCGCAUGUUUUUGAACUCGAGUUCUCCAGUAAUUUUUAAUCUCAUUAUCCGUUCUUCCUGGCAAAUGUUCCGCAAUUUUUGACCACCUAUUGCCCCAACGAAAAUGAAGUUGAAGAAUUAAAAGUUGUUCUUCAAGUGUAAUAUUUCCAUGUCGAAUAUUUGGUCUAAGAUAAUUAAGCCAUCUUAGUCGACAGCUUUUUCCUGUCCUCUUUAAACCUGUUUAAGUAAUCAAAACGUUAAUUUAUGGAUAGACUAAAACAGA